UACGUAGGCAGCAAGCGUUGUUCGGAGUUACUGGGCGUAAAGGGUGUGUAGGCGGCUUCCUAAGUUUGGCGUGAAAUCUCCCGGCUCAACCGGGAGGGUGCGUCGAAUACUGAGAGGCUAGAGUGCGGGAGAGGAAAGUGGAAUUCCUGGUGUAGCGGUGAAAUGCGUAGAUAUCAGGAGGAACACCGGUGGUGUAGACGGCUUUCUGGACCGUAACUGACGCUGAAACACGAAAGCGUGGGUAG
rnacentral:rRNA from 1 species